rnacentral:rRNA from 1 species
UACAGAGGGUGCGAGCGUUGUUCGGAAUUAUUGGGCGUAAAGGGCGCGUAGGCGGUGCGGUAAGUCACCUGUGAAAUCUCCUGGCUCAACUGGGAGCUUGCAGGCGAAACUGCCGUGCUGGAGUGUGGGAGAGGUGCGUGGAAUUCCUGGUGUAGCGGUGAAAUGCGUAGAUAUCUGGAGGAACACCGGUGGCGAAGGCGGCAUCCUGGACCGGCAUUGACGCUGAGGCGCGAAAGCCAGGGGAGCAAACGGG